rnacentral:lncRNA from 1 species
CGUGAAAUUUGUGGAACCCAUUUUUUAACUAAGUGGACUCCACAUAAGAAAUAAAAUUAACAAAAUAAAUGAAAAAACAAUAUAAAAAAAUCCACCAAAAAAAAAAACCUCAUCUUCUCCCAUUUCCCUUACCUUCCAGCCUGACCUCCAACCCACCAUCCCCACAGCUCUGCCCCACCUUCAUUAGAUUUGACUCUCUCCAACCCAAAUCAAGUUGCCAUCUCACUCUCUCUCUCUCCCCCCGCCCCUUGGUUUCACCUCCAUGGGGCAUGGUGACUGUCGCUUUCUGGAAUUUGACCCAGUUUGGUGCGAGACCCAUCUACGUGCUAGAGAGAAAGGGCAGCAUAAGCAAACAAACAUCUCCUGAUUUUUACCAUCAUGGUGAUGAUGGGGGGAAAUAAAUGAUGAUGAUCUUGCAUCAGCACCGAAAGUGAUAAAGAUGCGUAUCAAGGUAACAACAUGCAUGGGAUUCAUCUUCAUCUCAUCAAUCCAAAUCAAAUCUACCCCCUUUGCCAUAAAUGCUGCCGUUUUGGGAAAUGGAUGAAGAAAAAUCGCCCAAAAAAAAAAAACUCAAAGAUCAUAGCUUUCUUAGAUGGGUUUGUUAGAAACAGUGAUAAGCAUUCGGUUUCUUCAAAUUUUCACAUCCUUUCAAUGUGUAGCAAGCAACCAGUUUUGUGCAAAUUCCAUUAUAAUUUAUAUGUUGGUGCUGGCAUAUGUGAAAAGUUUGAAGAUUCGUUUGCGUUUUGAAGCAUCAGAGAGCUGGUGAUUCUAGGUCCAAGUUAUUAGUUUUGCCUUGUGAGCCUUUGUUGAGUGCUUUGUUGAAGGAAAACGGUUUUGGGUGUGUUGAUUACAUGUAUAGAGAGGUGAUUAGAAGUAGAAUUGAGCAAGGAAAAGGAUGUUUAUUCUUAGAUNNNNNNNNNNUUAUUUAUUUAUUUUCUGUUUGACUAUCAAGGAUCUGGUUGCACGGCCCCAAACCUCUUAUUUGAACACGGCCUUGUGCCACCCAGAUCUAAGCAACAAGUCAAGUCGCAGGUCGAUGAGGGUUUGGAUCGCGAUAGCUUCCUCUUCUCCUUCCAUCCUAUGCGGUUGGGUGCUUCAGUAGUUCAAAUAUUGUGGCGUUAUAUGGGGUUAAAGUACCCAGAGUUAUAUGGGGUUGAAGAAAUUGGAUGGGGG